GGAGAGAUGCGAGAGUGGUUGAAUCGGGCGGUCUCGAAAACCGUUGUAUCCGUAAGGAUACCGAGGGUUCGAAUCCCUCUCUCUCCG
rnacentral:tRNA from 1 species